UAGAGUGAGCAGUUAACCUCUAGCCA
rnacentral:piRNA from 1 species